rnacentral:rRNA from 1 species
UGGGGAAUAUUGCGCAAUGGGGGAAAGCCCUGACGCAGCCAUGCCGCGUGAGUGAAGAAGGUCUUCGGAUCGUAAAGCUCUUUCAACGGUGAAGAUGAUGACGGUAGCCGUAGAAGAAACCCCGGCUAACUCCGUGCCAGCAGCCGCGGUAAUACGGAGGGGGUUAGCGUUGUUCGGAAUUACUGGGCGUAAAGCGCACGUAGGCGGACCAGAAAGUUGGGGGAUGAAAUCCCGGGGGCUCAACCCCGGAACUGCCUCCAAAACUAUUGGUCUAGAGUUCGAGAGAGGUGAGUGGAAUUCCAAGUGUAGAGGUGAAAUUCGUAGAUAUUUGGAGGAACACCAGUGGCGAAGGCGGCUCACUGGCUCGAUACUGACGCUGAGGUGCGAAAGUGUGGGGAGCAAACAGGAUUAGAUACCCUGGUAGUCCACACCGUAAAACGAUGAAUG